rnacentral:sRNA from 1 species
AAACAGUGGCGGCUCCCUCGGGUACUCCACGUUCGCUGAAGCCCGGAAUGCUACCCUCCGUCCCGAACUGAUAGUGCUGUGACAUCAGUCGCUGUUGCUGCUGCUGAUGCUGGUGUUGCUGCUGUUGCUGCUGCUGAUGCUGCUGAUGCUGCUGCUGCUGAUGCUGCUGCUGCUGCUGCUGAUGCUGCUGCUGCUUAUGCUGCUGCUGAUGCUGCUGCUGGCCGUAGUGUGCGGCAUGGCCGUAGUGUGCGGCAUGGCCGCUACCACUAACC